CCCUUAGAUGUCCGGGGCCGCACGCGCGCUACACUGAAGGAAUCAGCGUGGCUUUCUCCCUGACCCGAAAGGGUUGGGAAACCCGUUGAAUCUCCUUCGUGAUAGGGAUUGGGGCUUGAAAUUGUUCCCCAUGAACGAGGAAUUCCCAGUAAGCGCGAGUCAUAAGCUCGCGUUGAUUACGUCCCUGCCCUUUGUACACACCGCCCGUCGCUACUACCGAUUGAACGGUUUAGUGAGGGCCUCGGAUUGGUCUCGGCUCGCUCUUUACCGGGCGGCGCCGUUGGUCGAGAAGACGCUCGAACUUGAUCGUUUAGAGGAAGUAAAAGUCGUAACA
rnacentral:rRNA from 1 species